rnacentral:rRNA from 1 species
UACGUAGGGGGCAAGCGUUGUCCGGAAUUACUGGGCGUAAAGAGCUCGUAGGUGGUUUGUCGCGUUGUUCGUGAAAUCCCACGGCUUAACUGUGGGCGUGCGGGCGAUACGGGCAGACUGGAGUACUGCAGGGGAGACUGGAAUUCCUGGUGUAGCGGUGGAAUGCGCAGAUAUCAGGAGGAACACCGGUGGCGAAGGCGGGUCUCUGGGCAGUAACUGACGCUGAGGAGCGAAAGCGUGGGGAGCGAACAGG